GGCAAGUCUGGUGCCAGCAGCCGCGGUAAUUCCAGCUCCGAUAGCGUAUAUUAAAGUUGUUGCAGUUAAAAAGCUCGUAGUUGAAUUUCGGGAUCAAGGAAUCGGUCAUGCUUAGGUAUGUACUGGUUUUAUUGGUUCUCACCUUCUAAAGAACCAUAAUGUCAUUCAUUUGAUGUUAUGGGGAAUUAGGACUGUUACCUUGAAAAAAUUAGAGUGUUUAAAGCAGGC
rnacentral:rRNA from 1 species